rnacentral:tRNA from 1 species
AAGGGAGACCUAAUUCCGGUAGGAGACGAAAAAAAAGUAGUCCCAACCAGGAAUCAAUCCCAAAAGGUCGGAACGAGGUAUGAGGCUUUCAAACUAGGUUCUGGGUUCAUAAAAGACCUGAAUCAGGAACAAGGGCUAUUAGCUCAGGUGGUUAGAGCGCACCCCUGAUAAGGGUGAGGUCCCUGGUUCGAGUCCAGGAUGGCCCACCUGCACAGGUGGCAAAAACAAGAGAAGCUCCGAAUCAGCACCUUAUCUUAUAUACAUAUAUAAGAGAGAAUGCUGGCUCUGAGUAAAGAGUCCAGAGGAACCUUGAAAACUGCAUAGAGCUAGGUGAAAAAGCCAAAAAAGAAGACCGCAA